CAGAGAAGAGUCCACUCCAUCCAUGCCUGAGCACCUGGGGAUGACUUCUUCCUCUAGAGACAAAGAAUAGGGCAUUGUCUUUGACAUUCUGUUUCUCCUGGCAUCAUUCUUGGGAGGCUCUGACAGCCCGUUUGUGGGGCCAUGUCUGCUAACAUAGAGGGUGUCUAUAAUGGAUGGCUUUGCAAAACGUAGGAAACCCUUCCAAUCUCAAUACCUGUGAGGCCCCGACCAUUGCCCAACAGAAAUUACACCAGACACCUUCAACAGGUCCCCCCGUCCCCGGGUACGUUGGAAACAUUUUUUUUUUUUUUUUUGCUAACCACCAAAACCCCAGUUAGAAAAAUUCUGCUGGCUGGAAAAAAAAUAGAAUCAUAGUCUCUUUGGAGCAAUGGAGAAUUCAGGAACCUUCUCAGUUCCCCAGAAAACACUUUAUUCCAGAAUGAUGUGCUCCAUGACUGUUGCUUUCCUCUAAUCAUCAUACCCUGCAUCCCUAGGAAUCUAUCAAAUGUCCAGGAGGACCCUGGGAUCAAGACCUGAGCCGAAGGCAGAUGCUCAACACUGAGCCACCCAGGUGCCCCAUAGCUGGACUUUAUCUGCAAGCUCCUGGGGGUGCAACAGGGAGCCAAGUCAGAGAUGCUGUCUGUCUUCAGGGAGCCUACAGACCUGCUGCUCUCUCACCAGAGUCUGGGUUCCUGACAAGCACCACAUCUUCCAUCUCUGAAGCCUGGGGUACAGAACAUGCUCUAUGUAUAUACUGUGAAAAGAGCAUCACAAUCAAGCUGUCGCUUCUGCGUUACCAUGGGCGGGUGUGUGCCGAGAUUUAAAUCAAAAUCUACCCUCUUCGUAAAUUGCAAGUAUACAAUAUAGCGUUGUCGACCAUCGUUACCAUGCUGUACUUGAGGCCCCUAGAACCCACUCGUCUUGCACUACUGGAGCUCUGUACCCUUCGGCCCAAAGAAAAUGUGGUAUAUGUUUAUAAUGGAAUAUUAUUUGGCCUUUAAAAAUUAAGAACAACCCUGCCAUUUGCAACAACACAGGUGAACCCGGAGGACAUUCUGCUGAGGGAAAUAAGCCUGAUGCAGAAAGACAAAUAUUGCAUGAUCUCACUUAUAUGUGGAACUUAAAAUCGUAAAACUCAUAGAAUGGUGGUUGCCAGGAAUGGGGGGAAGGGGUCGGAAGGGAAAAUGAGGAGGUAUUGAUCGCAGGACACAGGAGU